UCAGUAUAUAUAAGUGGGCGCAAAUCUUAUCCUACAAGCCGAUUUUGUGAGGUUGAGUUAGGCUUAAAGUCCACUUCUAAUAUGAUAUCAGAGCCAUAAUGUUCCACCCGCUAUCGAACCACUCAUUAAAUGUCUAAUCCUUAGCUCGAGAUGUAUAUACCUCACGUGGGCAUGUUGUUCCACCCGUUAGAUGUAUAUAACUCAGUGGGGGGUGCAUUGAAAGUCUCACAUACAAGGCCAUUUCAGUGUACAUAAGUGAGUGCAAGCCUCACCCUAC
rnacentral:lncRNA from 1 species